ensembl:lncRNA
UCUCUCUCUCUACCACACACCCCCCCUCUCCUCUCUCUACCACACACCCCCAGACUCUCUCUCUCUCUACCACACACCCCCAGACUCCCUCUCCCCCUCUCUACCACACACACCCAGACUCCCGCUCUCUUUACCACACACCCUGUGGUUUUCUACGAUAGGGCCUGGGACCUGAGCGGUUUACUCCAAGCAUGCACAGAGGAAUAGUUAGCCCCUUUAAAAUACUCUGUAUACACACUGUGUGUGUGUGUGUGUGUGUGUGUGUGUGCCUGCCUAGCCUGGGCCCCACCCGUCUAUCUCACUGAAGCCACCUCUGAAUGGCCUGUAUGUACUCUGUGGGUCAUAAAACCCCAGACAAAUGGUGUGUGUGGGGUGUGAGAGUGAACCAAGGAGGGGGUGGAGCAAGUGAGGCUGGCUGUAACAGAGGCUCUGCCACGACAGUUGUUGUCUGUUCCGUUCCCUUCCCUACUGCUGUAGUUAACUUACAACUCCUCUGAGCCCCAGAACAGACCAUGGACUAUCUUGACUGAGUGGCCAGUUGGUAAGAUCAUCCAAAGUGGAGGAGUUGAGAGUAGGCUUUCCAAAUAUCCAUUCCCUUCUCUUUCUGUGUAUCUUUUCCCCUGAUAGUGACCAGUCAAGGAAUCUGUGAACUUUUCAACUGCUGUCUAAUAAAUCUAGAACUAUGUCCACAAAGACUCUCACAGCAUACUGAUAAAACCAGGACAGGACAUUAAAAACACUCAUGUUUAAAUGCAUUUCAUGGCCAUUUGCAAUGGGUCUGCCCGAAGAGAUGCACUAUGACCGAGCAGGAUAUCACUAUAUUGAAGCAGAGGGCCUCUGUAACAUAGAAACUGAAAAUGCACAUUUGAACCUCCUUUCUCCUGCCAACUCUCUGAUUACCCCUCCCCCAAAUCUAUACGGUGGCCUCAGGAAGCAAUCCAUGCAGGGAAUAGGAGGAGAGGGAACAUAUUGGACUUCCUGUUUUGAUUUCAAGGGGAAAAUGAGAUCCAAAGAUAUGGAGAGUCCUGGAAAAUCUAAACUGCCCUGAUUUAGCAGAGCUAAUGUCUGACUAUAACUAACUGAACAUAAGCGCUCAGAGCAUGAUACUCCUCUCUGAGAUCAGAGCAAGACUUGAUGAGUAACAGACCGAAGUCUGGGUCUUUUUUAUUUAUUUUGACCUUCAUCUGUUUUCAUGCGAACUUUCACAGAGAGCAACUUUUUUCACUCCCCAUAUUUGUCUCUUUUUUUCAGACCAAUAACAUGAUCCAUCUUUGUUAACAGCCUCUUGAGGGCUUCUUUCAAUCGGGGGGAUAUGAGAUCACAUUAUUAACAUUCUUUGGAAGAGCAUUCUUUCUCUCUUUCUGCCCAAUCUUCUGCUUGUCCCUUCUUGCCCUCGAGGAGAGAAUAUGGCAGCAUGGCAGAUCUCAGACCAACAAAGAGAGAGAGCUAAUCCACAGCAUAGACAAGCUUAGCUGAGACCACCUAGAAGAGACUUGGUCAAUAACACUCAGAAAACAGACAAUAUCUGGUCUACAUAGAUAGCAACUUUCUUUCCCGGUAAUACAUUUAGCUUGAUUGAUGUGUCUCUAUGCAAUAAAUGUGAGACCUGUGUACAGGGUGAUAGUCAUCAUACCUCUACAUAUAGGACAAAAGUGCAAUAGCUAUCAGGUAUAAACCAUGUAAAUGUCUGCAGUCUCCCUGCUGAGUCAUGCUAUCAGACUUCAGGUUUCCUAACUGAGAAUAUCAAGUGAACAGGGCUUUGCUGGCGAAACUCAAACAUUCUGAAAAGUGAAUCUGGGCAUCUGUUUCUGUUUAGUUUUCAGGUUAUGGCAGCAACAUCUUUCCCUAUCCUGAUACUCCUUUUGUUCCCUUCUUUCUUACCUUGAGAGGAAGAAAAAAAGCGCCCCUAUUAAAGUGAAUUUUCCAAAGUACCUUCCAAACCCCCUCCCCCGCCCACCCCUUGUAACAAUCUUAGACUCUACCUGCCACCCCCCGCCCACCUCCCCCCUCCUCUUUUCUCUCUCUCCUCAUUCAUCUCUCUCUGCUUCAGUGAAAAGCCAAACAAGCCAGCCAUUAAGUUGAGUUAAGCGCAGGAAGCGGGCCUUCAGGCCAGGCAGCCCUGUUUACACGGAGCUAGUCGGGUUUCAGCGAGUGAGGUGAGGCAGCUCACAGGAGACUGUCACUGGGCCAAGGCCUCGGCGCUGCUCCACUGACUCACUGCAUUCCCCCCAUUCAUCUGAGUGAAGAGAAGAGGGGGGCAGGGAGGAGAAAGAAAGGGGGAGCUAGGGCUGAGGCACAAAAGGUGUGGAGGAGCAGAACAUAAGUGGGACAGGUAGAUUUAUGUAUUUUUCCCCCAACAAGGCAUGGUCUCUUUUGCUGUCCUAAAUCACACAUACUGUACCUGUCAGUUGUUACAACCCUGGUACUUAUACUGUGCCAUGCCAUACACUGCCCCCUCUUUCUGUACAAGACAGACAAACGAUAGAUCUUAUCUGACAAGGGGAAAUAUCCAGUGGUCUUCAGCGAGUACAAACUGUUCAAGCCCUGCAUAUCGUCAAGUCUACCUCUAUAGAUUUCUUGUUGUAGAUUAGGUGAGAAAUUGGUAAUCCCAUUCUUACAUGCAGGAGCUGUUCAGAAAGUGUUCACACCAUGUGACUUUUUCCACAUUUUGUUGUUACGAAGUGGGAUUCAAAUGGAUUUAAUUGUUUUGUUUUUUGUCAACUAUCUUAACAAAAUACUCUAUAAUGUCAAAGUGGAAUAAAAAUGAUAAAAUGUAUGAAUUAAUCAAUGGAAAAUAAAACACUAUGUAUUGAUUUAGAUAAGUAUUCAACCCUCUCAGUCAAUACAUGUUAGAAUCACCUUUGGCAGCGAUUACAGCUGUGAGUCUUUCUGGGUUAGUCUCUAAGGGCUUUGCACACCUGGAUUGUACAAUAUUUGCCCAUUAUUCUUUAAGAAAUUCUUUAAGCUCUGUCAAAUUGGCCAUAGAUUUUCAAGAUGAUUUAAAUCAAAACUGUAACAAUGCCACUCAGGAACAUUCAAUGUAGUCUUGGUAAGCAACUCCAGUGUAUAUUUGGCCUUGUGGUGUGGGGGCUGUGCUUUGGCAAAGUGGGUGGGGUUAUAUCCUUCCUGUUUGGCCCUGUCCGGGGGUGUCCUCGGAUGGGGCCACAGUGUCUCCUGACCCCUCCUGUCUCAGCCUCCAGUAUUUAUGCUGCAGUAGUUAAUGUGUCGGGGGGCUAGGGUCAGUUUGUUAUAUCUGGAGUACUUCUCCUGUCCUAUUCGGUGUCCUGUGUGAAUUCUCUAAUUCUCUCCUUCUCUCUUUCUUUCUCUCUCUCGGAGGACCUGAGCCCUAGGACCAUGCCCCAGGACUACCUGACAUGAUGACUCCUUGCUGUCCCCAGUCCACCUGGCCGUGCUGCUGCUCCAGUUUCAACUGUUCUGCCUUAUUAUUAUUCGACCAUGCUGGACCUGAGCCCUAGGACCAUGCCCCAGGACUACCUGACAUGAUGACUCCUUGCUGUCCCCAGUCCAUCUGACCGUGCUGCUGCUCCAGUUUCAACUGUUCUGCCUUAUUAUUAUACGACCAUACUGGUCAUUUAUGAACAUUUGAACAUCUUGGCCAUGUUCUGUUAUAAUCUCCACCCGGCACAGCCAGAAGAGGACUGGCCACCCCACAUAGCCUGGUUCCUCUCUAGGUUUCUUCCUAGGUUUUGGCCUUUCUAGGGAGUUUUUCCUAGCCACCGUGCUUCUACACCUGCAUUGCUUGCUGUUUGGGGUUUUAGGCUGGGUUUCUGUAUAGCACUUUGAGAUAUCAGCUGAUGUACGAAGGGCUAUAUAAAUAAAUUUGAUUUGUGUUUCAGGUAAUUGUCCUGCUGAAAGGUGAAUGUGCAUCCCAGUGUCUGUUGGGAAUCAGACUGAACCAAGUUUCCCUCUAGGAUUAUGCCUGUGCUUAGCUCUAUUCCAUUUUGUUUUAUCAUUAAAAAAAACACCCUAGUCCUUUUCGAUGACAAGCGUACCCAUAACAUGAUGCAGCCACCACCAUUCUUGAAAAUAUUAAGAGUGGUACUCAGUAAUGUGUUUUAUUUUCCCCAAACAUAAAGCUUUGUUUUCAGAACAAAAAGUUCAUUUCUUUGCCACAUUUUUUUAAAAGUAUUGCUUUAGUGCGUUAUUGCAAACAAGAUUAUUCUGUACAGGAUUCCUUAUUUUCACUCUGUCAUUUAUGUUAGUAUUGUAGAGUAACUUCUACAAUGUUGUUGAUCCAUCCUCAGGUAUCUCCUAUCACAGCCAUUAAACUCUAUAACUGUUUUAAAAUCACCAUUGGCCUCAUGGUGAAAUCCCUGAGCGGUUUCCUUCCUCUCCGGCAACUGAGUUAGGAAGGACACCUGAAUCUUUGUAGUGACUGUGUGUAUUGAUACCCCAUCCAAUGUGUAAUUAAUAACUUCACCAUGCACAAAGAGAUAAUCUAUGUACGCUUCUUUUUUUUUGCCAUCUACCAAUAGCUGCCCUUGUUUGUGAACCAUUUGAAAACCUCCCUGGUCUUUGUGGUUGAAUCCGUGCUUGAAAUUCACUGCUCGACUGAGGGACCUUACAGAUCAUUGUUUGUGUUGGGUACAGAGAUGAGGUAGUCAUUUAAAAUUCAUGUUAAUCACUAUCAUUGCACAGAGUGAGUCCAUGCAACUUAAUAUGUGACUUGUUAAGCAUAUUUUGACUCCUGAACUUAUUUAGGCUUGUUAUAACUAAAGGGUUGAAUACUUAUUCACUGAAGACAUUUCAGCUUUACAUUUUUAAUUAAUUUGUAAACAUUUCUAAAAACAUAAUUUCACUUUGACAUAUGGGGUAUUGUGUGGAACCCAAAAUCUCGAUUACAUUUUUAAAAUUCUGGCUGUAACACAAUACAAUGUGGAAAAAGUCAAGGGGUGUGAAUACUUCCUGAAGGCACUGUAUGCUUACAGUAUGUUUUGGAAGUAUUCCUCAUAUCCUCCGUGCUGGACGUGUUGGGGAUCCGGGAGUAUCCACUUUCUCCAGCCAGCACGUCAUUUAUUUCAUUACAUCACCAACAGAUGAGGUUCAGUUUCAGCCAUGCAUCACUCGGGGGAUUCCAGAUCAAUGUUGUGUUUACUUUAAAAAGUUUCUUGAAAGAUAAAGUACUCUGUGAAGCCAAGCACCAUUAUUUUCCUUUGCUUCACUCGCAUGUAGAGACAAAUGCCAUGUUCACAAAGAAAUACACACACACACACGCAC